CUGCAAAUUGAUCUCCUGGAUGCUCACUUCUUGGCUUUUGUUUCUGAGAAUCAGUUUCUUGAACAGGAUUAUGAUGAUUACGGUGUAUGAAGUAAUAACAGCAUUGUGUACCUCCGGUUUAUGGCUCUCUUUGCUUUGCUGGUCACAAGAGACCUCGGGAUGCUGCCAGAAGGUUCGUAAGUCCAAGAAAAGAGGCUUGUCAUUGGAAGAGAACCGGGAGAAGAUGCUUCAAAUAUUUUAUGACUCUCAAGAUUUCUACCUU